GCGGGCAUAGUUCAGCUGGUAGAACACAACCUUGCCAAGGUUGAGGUCGCGAGUUCGAGACUCGCUGCCCGCUCCA
rnacentral:tRNA from 2 species